UGUGACGGCCCAUAUUUGGAUGGACUUAUUUGUGUGCACAGAACUGUAGCUUAUCUUCGUGCUAGGGAAUAAACGAGAAUAGCGCGAAAGCUUUUGACGGGAGAGCGAGCUUUGGGUUAUCUUGGUGGGUUAUCUAGCGCUUGUGCUUUAGAAUGGGAUAAAGAAACAAAAUCAAAGCUCAAGCGCUGGAUCAUUCGAUCCAUGGAACUAAAUUGUGGAAGGUCAGUUUGGUGGUACGGCGAGAUAAAAGAAAAGAAAAGAAUAAAAGGUUUGCCAGUCGAUCUCGGUUUCUCCAGUGUAAUUUAAUAUUGACGAAAGUUAUCCAACUGAGGUCAAACUUCUGCCGCACAACGAAAAUUUGCGAUCAACCUUAUUUUUGACCUUGGCAGAGGACAUACAGUUGCCUCUGAAAUUCUAUGUCGUGGCCUGGAUAGGCACAGACAUAUCCAUAUCGGAUGUCUUCAAGGAAAAUGAUUGACACACACACACACACACACUGAAUUCAACCGAAGCUACUAUUGCUAUUAUUAUUAUUUUUUUUGCAUUUAAAUUUUGUACACUAUAAUCUAAUCUAGGACACAUCAAUGCAUGCAGGCCUGUUGCAGCGAUGGAAAACCAAACUUGCUGUAACUGUAGAUAAAUAAGAUGUUAUGAAGAUUUGAGGUGAUGCUGAGAAUGGUUGUUAGUUGGAGUGGAGUUAAAAUAUGAAAAUACACUGAAGAUUGAUCAACAUGAAA